GUUGCUCAAGAGACGUCGACAGAGGAGGUCCUGUGCGUGCGUCCGUGUGGGUGCUUGGUCAUCAUCGCAGGGAGGUGUAUUUAAAGGUGCCGCCAAGUCUGAAAGUCUACCUGAUGCAUCCUUAUCCUUUCCACGUUGAUAGUUGACAAACGGAAAUGACAGACAGAAAUGUGUUGCCAGGAUGAUGGGAAGACAGAAGAGGAUGUUGAAAGAAGAUGAGAGGAACAUCUCUCUCUACCUACUACUACUACUAUAUAUAUAUACAUUAUCUCUUUCUACCUGAACAAGUGUGUGUAUAAAGACUCAAUGUCAGCCAGCUGGUGCUGGUACAUGAGCUUCAGUGUUUUAAGUCCCAGACUCCUCAACUAUUAUUUAUGAUUUUUCUUUUAAAAUAAAUUUCCUCCAAGCGAGA